rnacentral:sRNA from 1 species
GCUGGGCAUGGUGAUGCAUGCCUGUAAUCCCAACGACUUGAGAGGCUGAGGCAGGAGGUUCACAAGUUUGAGGCCAACCUCAGCAAAUUAGCUAGGCCCAAAGCAACUUAGUGAAAUGCUGUCUCAA